GCGCUCCCCCGAGCCGCCCGGAGGAGUUUUCCCAAGUUCUGUUUACAGAGGGGUAAUUUGUGUUUUCUGUGUCACUAGCGGGGCUGGGGGAACCCUGGCUCGCCCCCCAGGCUCUCGCAGGGUGUGGGCAGGGAGGCCGGGGCGGGCUCCUCUCAGUGUCCCGAGCACUGUGACUUCCACCAAAGCAGCCGUGGCUCCGGUGACAGGAGCCGGGAAUGUGCGGGAUUUGCCUGCCAGGACCGGGAUCCGCAGGUGAGUGCACAUCCUCCCGGCCCCGGAGGUCAGGCUGAGCUGCUGUCACCUCAGCAGGUUACACGGAGGGCACUACCACGGGCCAUCCUCCGUCCUGUUCGCCUAAUCCUGCUCAAGCAAAGCCCGGCUCCAGCGGGGGCUGGAUCCACCCUCAGCGCCUCGCUGACCCACUCGUGUUAAUUGUCCCGCGGGGUCAAGGGCCUGGUAGUGCAGGCUCAGGGACAGAUUCGUUCUGAACCCUAAAAGACAAAAGUACGGAUGCCCUAAGGCGUAGCUGUGUUUCAUUAUGCAAUGAAAGUGUUCGAUUUAAAGCAAAGAUUUGUUUUGGGUUUUUUACAUUUGAACCCUAUUUCGGUUAUUUAAUCAUAGUUAGAAAGAAAAAAAGGUCAUCACAUUCUAUUUGAAGCGCAAUUCACUGAGGGAUAUUUUAAAGAAAGUGUUUUGGUUUAGAAUUCAUGUGGUACAUUGAUGGAAAAGUUUGUCAGGAUCUGGUGUUUGUUUCAGUAGGAUUGGUCCCACAAAGCUGCUUGUGUUCAGGUCAGCAGGAAAGUCGUGGAAUUGCACCAAAGGAGCGAGAGACGGCAAGAGUUGAAUCCGUAAUUCCAGUCUGCAUCGGGAGCAACACCUUCAUUUUUAUUCCUGUUAACAGUUUAAUUAAGCAGUGUCAGUGCAGGAGCCUGCUUUCUGAAUUUCCUGCUCCAAAUUAUUCGUAAUAAUUUCAGUAAGUGAUGGAUUUCACAAAACUGGUGAGGUUUAAUCAGAUAAAUCAAAGAAAGUUCUACCUUGCUAUAUAAAAGUAUACCAAUCAAAAUUACAUAGCAUAUCGGCUUCUGCCUUCAAAGUUAUGUUUUAAACUAUAUUAGCGCUAAACAAAGCAUUUUCCUUUUUAAACAUGCUCUUUCAGGAGUUCAGCUGAAUACAGGUUGUGCUGGUGCCAAAUCUGGGUGCUAAUUUUCCAGGAUUGAGGCAUGUAUGUGUUUGCUGGAGAGGGGCCUCUGCAAAUAGAGCUUCUGAGAGUGGUAAAACCAUGUCAUUGUGAUUUUCUGGUUGUGAAGGGCUGUAAGAUCAGGCCUUUAGGUUUUGGAUUUUCUGUAGGUUGUUUUGGGAUGAAAUGUGAUUUUUUUUUUCUGAAUUUUUGUGUUUCUUGAAAGGGUUAAGUGUCCCAAGCAGCUUGAGUAAUGUGUGGAGUAAUGAGUUCUCACAGAACCUUUUGACUCUGGUGAGAAUUGGGAACAGUUUUGUCUCCUGAGGGUCUGAUUCAGUCAGAAUAAUUAAACUUAUAAAUUCUGGGGGAAAAAAAGAGGUCUGUAAACUCAAUGGAGAAAGAGUAUUUAAUUUCAUUUCUGUAGACUACUGGUUCUGUUUUAAUGGAAGUAAUAGCAAGACUGCUUUCUGUAAUAUUGGUAUCUUGGUUUUAAUUUCCCAGUCAGUGCUCUAAUCCCUGAUAGUGAUUGUUAUGAAACCAAACUUCAAAGAAAUACACAGUCAUCUGUAGCAUCUACUAAGUAUUUCACAUUUUAGUAUAUUAAGGGCCCCACCUUGUAUUACAGUGAUUCUGUGAGUUACUAGAACACAUUUAUCAAGCUAGAAUUGCACAACUAGGGUCUUAAAAUGUUCAUGAUUAAAACAUACUAAGUGGUGUAUUUGAUAAAGCAAGCCCAAGUGUCUUUUAGUUGAACUUUACUUUUUAUAAGAGCCUUAAUACUGGAGAGAAAGAAAAGGACUUGUCUCCAUUUGAAAGCACUUUGAAACCUGGUAGAAAUAUAGCAAACCAUCAUUUAUUUACGUGUUGUAGCUUUCCAAAGCUUGGCCUUUUUAACUGACAGAGUGAACCAACAGCAGUUAUGUGGACUAAUGAAAAUGCUUGGAGAAAAAAGUAGUUUCUAUGCAUUUUAGAUCAACUGAUGCUGCAACUUUGCUUAUGAAGUUUUAACAGGAUUUCCUGUUUAUUGUUUCAAUGGCUUUAAAAAACACAGGCAGUGUUUUUAAAAAAAACAUUUUUAACUCUAAGCAAUUCUAGAUCUCUAAAAUUAUUUUCCAGUGAUUGGCAGUUUUCAUUGUCAUUUGAUUUAUGCAGAGUAUGUAGGUCUCUAAAAAUUCUCCAAAAGUCUUUAAAAAAGAUUUAAAAUCUCCUUCUAGCACCUGUGGCUUAAACAUUUUCAAUCUGGAUUACCUGAGUGGAUGUAUGUGUAUCCAGUGCACAAGGAGGUUGUUGUAUUUUAUUUUUUAUCAUGACUUAGGUGAACUUACUGUUGUUCUGGGUUGGAAUUUUACAGGCAGAAUUGGGCUAUGGCUUUAUAAUACUGUUCAGAUAUUAUUGUUCUUUUAUUUAUGGCCACAUCUGCCACAUGCAAAUCUGAAUAUUCAACCUUUUGAAGUCAUAGAAUACCAGUAGAAUGUUUUCAUGGAAAUUAUCAGUAGCAUAUGCCAAAACUGCACUACUUCGAUUACAUAUUUGCACUUCUGUCACAUGAAUUUAUUUCUGAGAAAGGUUUAUUCAUAUUUCCAAACACGUGUUCAGUUCAAUGGGUGGGAGUAUUUUUCCACUUCAUGUAGUUUUCAGUCCCUUAGAUUUAAAUCUGAACUCAUCUAUUCCAUCUAACACUUGCUAGAAGCAUUGUGAUAAGUGGAGAUGAAAUAGAAACGUCAAAUGAUAUUUAUAUAAUACAUAAACAAUGAUUUUGAGGAGAAAAAUGUGUUGAAGGGGGUCAUUUUCAAGUUGGCAGGACACCAAUUGUUUUAUUGGGAGCUUGAGUGAAACAUCUUUUUAAAAUUGUAUUUCUAAAGAAUAUUGUUCAAGAAAAACUUUCACAAGCAAAGUUAAAUAUUUGAAAAUUUUCAAGCCAAUCUGUUUCUGGAAAAAAUGGUUUUAUAUGCAUGAAUGGGGUCCAUGCCACCUCCCUUUCCAAGUGAUACAGAAUGGUUUAGGCAAGGCAAUAAUCCUUAGGUCGUGUACUUCACUUGUAAGUGAAUUAUUCAUUGCUUAUGUUGCUGCAGGUAUAAAAAUGUGUCUGUCAUUUAUGUAGCUUUGUGAAAUGUGCCAUGUUAUUUUAUGUGCACUAUAAUGCUCAUUUAUACAGCGAGUCCAGUUGUACUGUAUGUCUGAUAGACAAGGAUGUUUGCUGCUUCACACUGGAACUGGUAGGGGUUUUGCAUGUGAUUCUAUGCCUUCUGUGGCAAGAAUUUGGAGAUUUACCCUAAUUAUUAGAAAUCCUAAAACAAAUGAGAACUAUUAAGUGACUGCUAAUGAAAUUUCAGCUAGCUAAACAUAUUAUUUAUUAGCAUAAAAUCAGCAACUGAAGGUGUUGUACUUAUUUUCACUAAAUGUACAUAAUUUCAGGUAAAUUAUUUUUUUCUCCUUUUACCAUUUGCAAGUAACUUUUUGAUGUGAAUGUGUGUGCUUCAGUAUCUCAGUAAACAACAGAGUACGUGCACACUCAGUUGUUUCAGCAGAUAUGAGGGGCAGAUAUAUCACUUGAAUGAACAAAUGUCUGUUCAUGCAUGAGCAUCAUCCCUUUACAGAUACGUGAAAUGUUUUUCCAUAAUGCCAACAGGCAAGCAGCUGCUAAUUUUAAUGUAAAGUAACCUGCAGAAAUAAUCAGAAUCUGAUUUUUUUGAACGUAUCAUAUAUUAAAAUUUGUAUGUGCCUUUCAGCAUUCCUAGAAAUAAAGCUCACGCGUUCCUUAGCUCUCCCACCACAAGUCCAUUAAUGAACUUGUCAUUAAAAUGAAAUUUUUACAAAAAUACAAUAAUCCUAAUUCCUGACACAUUUUUAGCUGUGCCAGAAAUCAUGUAUCUAUAGCAGCCAGAAGGAUUUGAUAAUAUAUUCCCAUAUUACAGUAAAAGAAAUGUCAGUCAGAAAUACGUCUUCCUGGUACACCUCUGCAUUUAUGUAGUUAAGUAAAAAAGAAGCCAAUUGUGACUAUAGUUAGUAUAGCAGAAUUUACUUGUUUUAUAUAUUCACCUCUUGCACAGAUAUUCUAAAUAUAUAUUCUAUCUGAAUCCAGAAGUUCUAGUUUUCUAUGAUAUCUGUUCAUGGAGACUUGGUCUUUUCAACUUCUACUGUUACUUAUCUGAUGCUGCAUAAUGCAUAUUGUUAAAAUGUUUUGAUGGAUUUAAUCUGUCUGCAGGGUUUAUAUCAUGAAACAAAAGUGCUCAGUGCAAGGAAUAUCUGAAGUAAAUUACUUUUACCUUCCAGCUAUUCUGCAUGGCUUUUUUGGCAAAUCCUCAGUAAUUCUGUUUCCUGUAGGUACUCCACGUGCACAUGCUUGGAGUAAAUGGAAGGAUUACUUAAUGGAAUGGAAAUAUUUUUGAGCACUGAAAUUAAGGAUUUUCCAACUUAAAUAGUUCAAGGCAAGAAGUAAAUAUAGUGAAUAUUUCUGUAAAACAAAGCCCACUGUUCCUAUGUAGAACUGAGCAGUAUUUUAUUUAAAAUGGAACACAGUGGUGUAUUUCAAAAUUAAACUUGUUCAGGGAAACACACCUGUUUCAGUGAAGGUUUUCUCAGGUUCAGCUGAUAGGAGAGAAUUGCCCUAAAAUAAAGAAGUGGUAAGAGUAUUUCCUUACAUCUAUGUAUGGGCUUGAAUGUUGGUCUUCCAUGAGCAAAGUGGAUACUGAGCUAUAAAAUCAUUGGCUAUUGCUUGAAGGUUUUCUUUAUCCAAUUUACAAAUACUGCUUGAACAUACUCUCACAGAAAGGAUUUUUGACAUUGGGUUUCCCCAUCUUGUGUGAAUAUUCUCUUCAUUGAUCACUCUGGCUUUUGCUUGAAGCCUCUGUUGUUGAGGAAAGAUCUGAUUUUAUUUUUAUGCUACAUAGGAAGAUUAUUUUACAUUACAUUUCUGGAGGGGAAGGCAGGGAAAUGUUUUCCUUGCAAUUUUCAGUUUUUUGAUAUUAAACAAUAGCAUGAAGUAUAAAAAUUGCUUGAAAUAACAUAUGCACUAGUGAUUCCAAAGAAUAUAGCUAAGAAUAAUGUCAAGUGUGAGUUGUGCUUUUACAAAACAUAUGUGCUUUGAUCUAGAAAGGCAGGGAGAAAGUCCUAGUCUCCAGUGCAAGCUAUUAAUGCCAGGGAUUUCUUUCUAUGCAAUUCUAUGGUGCAUCUGUUUUUAUAGGGAUUAACUUGAUUAGUGUGGUUCAUGUAUCAGUGUGUUAUGUAUAGAAUAUUCUGUUUAAAGUGUCAUUAAGGAAACUGUGUGUCUUAAAUGGUGUUACAACUUUAGGCUCUGUUUUGUCCAACCUGACUUCACUAAAUCAUAAGAAAUUCCUCUGAAUAACAAUAAGAAGACAAUAUUUCAUAACAUUGCAUAAUCAAGUCUCAUAUGUUACACUUAUCACCUUCUAGGACAAAAGUUGUGUUACUGUUGUGAGUUUUAAAAUUUUUGUAUUUCUGUAUCUUAAAACAAAAAGCCAAAUUGUGCUACACUUUUAAAUGCAAAGAGCUUAUAAAUGUGUUUUUAAAGCUUAUCGAAAAUAGUCAAACUAAAAUUGGCUGGGAUUACUCGUGUGUCAAGUUUCUGAACUGUGUUAUAAAAAUGUUUGUGUACCUCCUGUGCCUCCUUCAUGGAGGGGCACCCUUGGUGCAAAACCUGCCAACAUCUGGACACGAAUCCAGGUUGUGCUGCAGGAAAAUUGCUGUGACAGAAUUGCUGUUCUUGGAGAGGUUUGAGCAAACCCAACUCCUCCCUUGUAGUGUUACACAAAUAGAGGUUCUGUCUGUUGAAGAGAAUGUUCUUCAACAUGCAGGUGUUUAUUACUGUUUCUUUGAUUUACUGUGAUUUCAUUCUGGAAAAAAAAAAGUCACUUAACUCUGUACUUGACUAGUAAAUUACUUUUGGUUGUAGUGUCUUCUGCAAUGUUUCUAUUUCACCAAAUAAUGUUUGUUUCUAAUGUUUGUAAAAGUUAAUGUAAUAUCACCAAAAGUCAAAAUCAACAUUUUCUAAUAAUGCCUUGUAAUUUACCUAGCCUUACAGUAUUUCAGAAAAUUUUCCACCAAAACUGCAUCUAGUCACUGCUUGUCACAAUUAUGAAAAAGAGAUAUUUAUAAAUCUGUAGCUUCUAGCUGCCAUUAAAGAUUACUGAGACGAAUCAUGAGCAUGUGGUGACUAUAAACUCUUUCUUUUUCUUAAACCAA